CUGGGGGCUGAGAGCCAGCCUCGCUGUCUGCUCCCUUUCGCAGUCCCCUCCAGCCGCGUUUCUGUUCCUCACCUAAAGAUAACGUCAGAGGGGCUGAGGAGCAGUUAAUGAAUGGGCAGCUGAAGCAGAGACGAGAAGUGGCCAAGGGCAAAAUUCGUGUUGCCUCCUCUCUGGACGUAUUUGGACUUGGAUGGAUGGUCUAUCCUACUAGGAGCAGGGCCCCGUUUUCGCUCUGCCUUUCUCUGUGUGCUCACUUCGGCCCUGUGACUCCUUGGUAGCGCAGCUUUUUGCCUACACACCUGCAGCGCUGGAGCCUCCUAGGCUUUUGCCAGUGCGACGUGUGCUGGCGACGGACACCGACGAACGCGCCGAGGGUAACGCUGAUUCCCCAGUACCCCAUCUUCGGGCUGAACUAACACCCUGGGCAGGAGUUUGUCACGCUGGAAAGGGAAGGGGAUGCCGUGCCGCAGACGUCCCGAUGACCCUCCCCAGCUUUUUUUACCGGCUCGAUGCCUCACCUCUGCGUGCCCUCCAGCUUCUCACAGCAGCCUGUCUCUCCAGAGCCCAGGGAACAGCCCACUGGCAGGGAGUUCCCUGCUCACCUUUACUGCCUCUGGAGCGGACAGAGACAUUAUCCAGCACUGCA